AGGACGAACGCUGGCGGCGUGCUUAACACAUGCAAGUGGAGCGACGAACCAGGGCUUGCCCUGGGGCAGAGCCGCGAACGGGUGAGUAACACGUGGGUAACGUGCCCCGAUGACUGGGACAACCCGGGGAAACCCGGGCUAAUACCGGAUAUGCCCCCUCACGCGAGUGAGGUGUGUAAAGGAGCUUCGGCCUCCGCAUCGGGAUCGGCCCGCGGCCCAUUAGCUUGUUGGUGAGGUAACGGCUCACCAAGGCUGCGAUGGGUAGCUGGUCUGAGAGGACGAUCAGCCACACUGGGACUGAGACACGGCCCAGACUCCUACGGAAGGCAGCAGUGGGAAUCUUGCGCAAUGCGCGAAAGCGUGACGCAGCAACGCCGCGUGGGGGAAGAAGGCCUUCGGUUGUAAACCCUUUCAGUUGGACGAAGUGUGGCGGUGAACAGCCGUUCUGCAUGACGUACUUCACAAGAAGCCCGACUAACUACGUGCCAGCAGCCG
rnacentral:rRNA from 1 species